rnacentral:rRNA from 1 species
GGAAUUGACGGGGACCCGCACAAGCGGUGGAGCAUGUGGUUUAAUUCGAAGCAACGCGAAGAACCUUACCAACUCUNNNCAUCCCCCUGACCGGUACAGAGAUGUACCUUCCCCUUCGGGGGCAGGGGUCACAGGUGGUGCAUGGUUGUUGUCAGCUCGUGUCGUGAGAUGUUGGGUUAAGUCCCGCAACGAGCGCAACCCUUCUCUUUAGUUGCCCGCAUUUAGUUGGGCACUCUAGGGAGACUGCCGGUGACAAACCGGAGGAAGGUGGGGAUGACGUCAAAUCAUCAUGCCCCUUAUGAGUUGGGCUACACACGUGCUACAAUGGACGGUACAAAGGGC